GCGGUGUGAGAUGGACCUGCGUCUGAUUAGCCAGUUGGCGGGGUAACGGCCCACCAAAGCGACGAUCAGUAGCCGACCUGAGAGGGUGACCGGCCACAUUGGGACUGAGACACGGCCCAAACUCCUACGGGAGGCAGCAGUGGGGAAUAUUGCACAAUGGGGGAAACCCUGAUGCAGCGACGCCGCGUGACUGAAGAAGUAUUUCGGUAUGUAAAGGUCUAUCAGCAAGGAAGAAGAGAGACGGUACUUGACUAAGAAGCACCGGCUAAAUAC
rnacentral:rRNA from 1 species